AUUGCUUACUGGUAUUUAAAAACCUAGUGAAUAUUCAAAUAGUGAAGUUUAACAUGGCCCCUGCACAAGGAUGACACGCAAAUUCAGAAACAUUCCAUAUUUUU
ensembl:snRNA U6 U6 spliceosomal RNA